rnacentral:rRNA from 1 species
ACGGCUCAGUAACACGUGGACAACGUGCCCUAAAGUGGAGCAUAAUCUCGGGAAACUGAGGAUAAUUCUCCAUAGACCAUGAGAUCUGGAAUGACUUAUGGUUCAAAGUUCCGGCGCUUUAGGAUCGGUCUGCGGCCUAUCAGGUAGUAGUGGGUGUAACGUACCACCUAGCCAGUUACGGGUAUGGGCCUUGAGAGAGGGAGCCCAGAGUUGGAUUCUGAGACACGAAUCCAGGCCCUACGGGGCGCAGCAGUCGCGAAAACUUCACAAUGGGCGAAAGCCCGAUGAGGGAAUUCCUAGUGCUAGCACAUUUGUGUUAGCUUUUCCUUAGCGUAGAUAACUAGGGGAAUAAGGGCUGGGUAAGACGGGUGCCAGCCGCCGCGGUAAUACCCGCAGCCCGAGUGGUGGUCGAUUUUAUUGAGUCUAAAACGUUCGUAGCCGGUCUGAUAAAUCCCUGGGUAAAUCGGGUGGCUUAACCAUCCGAAUUCCGGGGAGACUGUCAGGCUUGGGAUCGGGAGAGGUAUGAGGUACUUCAGGGGUAGGGGUAAAAUCCUGUAAUCCUUGGAGGACCACCGGUGGCGAAGGCGUCAUACUAGAACGAAUCCGACGGUGAGGGACGAAGCCCUAGGUCGCAAACGGGAUUAGAUACCCCGGUAGUCUAGGGUGUAAACGCUGCAGACUAGGUGUUGGAGGCCCUACGGGGGCACCCAGUGCCCGAGAGAAGUUGUUAAGUCUGCUACUUGGGGAGUACGUCCGCAAGAAUGAAACUUAAAGGAAUUGGCGGGGGAGCAC